CCCUCCUACAAAGGCGUGUCUGUGGAUUCCUGUCUUUAGACACGUAAGAAUUGGAGGCAAAGAAAUGUGGACUUGGAGAAGUCUGGGGCCAGCUUUCUUCCUGCAGGCUCAAGAUCAACCAUCCCACAUAG
rnacentral:snoRNA from 1 species